UCCACCCACGGGGGGGCAGCAGUGGGGAAUAUUGGGCAAUGGGCGAAAGCCUGACCCAGCAACGCCGCGUGAAGGAAGAAGGCUUUCGGGUUGUAAACUUCUUUUGACAGGGAAGAGCAGAAGACGGUACCUGUCGAAUAAGCCACGGCUAACUACGUGCCAGCAGCCGCGGUAAUACGUAGGUGGCGAGCGUUGUCCGGAUUUACUGGGUGUAAAGGGCGUGUAGCCGGGCUGACAAGUCAGAUGUGAAAUCCGUGGGCUCAACCCCCGAACUGCAUUUGAAACUGUUGGUCUUGAGUAUCGGG
rnacentral:rRNA from 1 species